UGUGGUCAGUGAUGCUUUUUUUACCUACAUUGUCCGAACACAGUGAGAGAUAAAAACCAGCUGAGACCACA